AUGAAAUUUCUAAAUGUUGGUGUGUUUGUUAUAGUCAUCAUAACAUUGUGAACAUGAGUUCGCACCGUUUGAUGAAUGGGUUAAACGGUGAUGGUGGGAGUCAAUUCUAUGAUUACAUCUUUACGUCCCUCGAUCAUCAUCCAGCUUAUAUGUUCAACCUAGUGAAAAUCAGGCGGUUCAAAUUCUAAUCAACUGGUUAGAUCGGAACUGGUGACUAGCCGGUUAUGGUUUCGGCCGGUUUUAGUGAAGGUUGGGG
rnacentral:lncRNA from 1 species